CCCGAAGGCAAAUCGUUGGUCCUAGGGCUCCCUCCGCCCCUUUCCACAUGCGGUCCUGACCUGCCCGUGACUCACCCCGGCAUUGGGUUCCGCGUGCGCGCGUGUGCUAGUGCGAUUUGCAAGCUUGACAGGAAGAAGUAUGCUGUAGUGGAAAGUGCACUGCAUUUGGAAUCAGAUGACCUGUUCCAAUCCUGGCUCUAUCAUUUAAUAUCUUGCAGGAACCCUAGAGAGGGGAGGGAGACAAGAAAAUACUAAAUGGAGAAAAAAGAAAACAUGCAACAUUAAGAGAGGAGGCCAAAUUCCUUAGAUGAUAUUCUGGAAUGGUUUUUCCCUGCCCAGAAAAAGUGGAUUAAAGUUUGUUCAGUUAUUUUUCAGUUGUGGCCAAUUCUUCGUGACCCCAUUGGGGAUUUUCUUGGCAAAGAUACCGGAGUGGUUUGACAUUUCUUUUCCAUCUUAACUCUCAGAUGAGGAAACUGGGGCAAACAGGGUAAAAUGACAUGCCCCAAGUCACACAGUUCCUAUGUAUCUGAGACUGGAUUUGAACUGAGGUAGCAUUUAUUCUCUAUGCCACCUCACUGUCCCUGGAUUAAAGUCACAGUUCUCUGAUAAAGAACUGAAUGAUGAAUUUCCUUGCUUUUCUAUACCCCAAUCUCUUUUGGCCUUUUCUCUGAAUCUUCCACUUUUUGUACACUUCAGUUCUAGCAUUCUCAUUUUUCUUCUCUUUAUCUUUAGAGAUCAGGAAGCAUUCCGGGAAAUAAAAAAGUUAGAAAACCUACCACCCAUACACACAGCACAAACUUUUUCACAAUUUGUUCAUUUGUUUCAUCUCUUCAUUUCAAUGCUUUGCGACUAAGACUAGAGAUAGAGCCUAACUGGAGAAUAACUCUGAAACAAAAAAUAAAUGUGUUUUCCUUGUUGACCAACAUUCUUUUCUGGAUGAUGCCCUGAAAAGAUAUUUGUAUGCUUGAAGACUGCGUAGAUUCUGUUUCUGCCAUUAGCUUGUUAGGUGUUUGGGGUAAGUUGCUUAACCCCUGACUCGGUUCAUGUAUGUAUAAAAGUUGU